AAGACUAAGCCAUGCAAAUGUAAGAACAGCGAGCGCUCUCUGCACUUUCCUUAGGGUGGUGUAGCGAUGAAAAAGUGAAUCUGUACACGGCUCAUUAAAUCAGCUUUGGUUCAAAGAGAACUGAGCACUUGAAUACAUGGAUAACUUUGGAAAAUCUAGAGCUAAUACAUGCGGAAAGAUUUCUUUGUUUCGGGCAACUGAUUCAAGGAGAUUGCACUUAUUAGAACAAGAUCCUGUGAGUCGCUCUCUCGCGGAGUGGCUCUCAGCUACUUGUUGACUCUGGAUAAGCAAAGCUGACGUCCAAGUGCUGGCACUUUGUGUGUCUCACUUGACGCAUCCUUUUCAAGUGUCUGCCCUAUCAAAUUUCGAUGGUAGUCUAUAUGACUACCAUGUUGAUCACGGGUAACGGGGAAUCAGGGUUCGAUUCCGGAGAGGGAGCCUGAGAAACGGCUGCCAGCUCUAAGGAAUGCAGCAGGCGCGCAAAUUGCCCACUCUCAAUACGAGGAGGCAGUGAUAAGAAAUAAUCAUGCUUUCCAAUGGUCCCUCACGGGACCGGAAAGCAAUGAGCAUGAGACGGUGCUUAAAACCUCUAGUCGAGGAUCAAUUGGAGGGCAAGUCUGGUGCCAGCAGCCGCGGUAAUUCCAGCUCCAAUAGCGUAUAUUAAUGAUGUUGGUGCUGAAAAGCUCCUAGUUGGAUUUUGACGGUGGUUAAAGUGGUCAUUGAUUGACACCGUUUGGACUUGAAAGUAUGGGCUCGAGGCUCUCUCGCGGAGCUCAAGUACCGCUUUUGAGAAGGGGUCCAAUGCCACUACCACUCUCAUUGGUUUGAUUUCCGUUUACGGAUGGCUACCACUGCAUCACUUUCUCGGAAGCGAUGUGUGGCAAGUAUCUUGCGGUUAUCAUCCCAAAUUCAAACUGUGUCUUUACCUUGCAGCUUGGUGGGACUUGACUGUCACGCCAUACCGCAUAGGUGGCACAUGUUUACCUUGAAAAAAUCAAAGUGCUCAAAGCAGAUGUCCUCAGACCCUCACGGGUUUGAAGACAAAGUCUGAAUGAUGGUGCAUGGUAUAAUGGAAUAAGAUCUUGACGAUCUUGGUCGCUUCGAGACUCAUGAUUAAAAGGGACAGACGAGGGCAUUCGUACUGUUGGGCGAGAGGUGAAAUUCAUGGACCCCAGCAAGACGGACAAAGGCGAAAGCAUUUGCCAAGAAUGUUUUCAUUAAUCAAGAACGAAAGUUUGAGGCUCGAAGGCGAUCAGAUACCGCCCUAGUUCAAACCAUAAACGAUGCUAACCAGCAAUCAGCCUGAGCUCACAUUUUCUCAGCGCCUCUGACCUCCUUUGCGCUCCGCGUAUUCGAGGAUCCAGACCUGAGAUCAUUUGCGGUUCGGCUGGAGGCUCCCAAUCAUGUACGCGAAGGCUACCGAGUCUACGAGUUCAUGGGGGAGUAUGGUUGCAAAGCUGAAACUUAAAGGAAUUGACGGAAAGACACCACCAGGAGUGGAGCCUGCGGCUUAAUUUGACUCAACACGGGGAAACUCACGAGGUUCGGAUACUUGAAUGAUUGACAGAUUGAGAGCUCUUUCUUGAUCAAGUAGGUGGUGGUGCAUGGCCGUUCUUAGUUGGUGGAUUGAUUUGUCUGCUUAAUUGCGAUAACGAACGAGACUCUAGCCUACUUUAAAUAUGUAGUGGGAUUUGGCGAUGGGCGGUCUUGGUUGUACUUCGUGUCGGCCAAGAUUCGUUUUUCCAUUUGCUCAAAUUGCCACUAAAGCCUUGUGGUGCUUCGGUGCCACAAUGGUGACUUCUUAGAGGGACUCGAGUUGAUAAAUACCAUUCAAACUCAUGAAGUGGAGCAAUAACAGGUCUGUUAUGCCCUAAGAUAUCCUCGGCUGCACGCGCGCUACACUGUUAGAGACAGCGGGCCACAUGGCGUCAGCCUUCUCCCAUGGUGCGAAAGCAUGUCUGAGCGAUUGGCGGGUCCCUUUCGGGGGGCUCGUUCAAUUGUCUCAGGCGGGGAAUCCGGUGAACCUCUUGGAGACUCUUGCGAGUCAUAACGUGAUUGGGAUAGGGGAUUGCAAUUAUUGCCCUUGAACGAGGAAUUCCAAGUAUUGGCGAGUCAUCCAGCUCGUCGAGAUUACGUCCCUGCCCUUUGUACACACCGCCCGUCGCUACUACCGAUUGGAUGAGCCGGCGAGGACUUUGGAGAUGGCGAUUCGUUGAGCUCUUCGGAGCCCAAUGAAUGUGUCGUCAAAGUUGUUCGAACUGACUCAUCUAGAGGAAGUAAAAGUCGUAA
rnacentral:rRNA from 1 species